rnacentral:lncRNA from 1 species
ACAGGCUUGCACCCUACUUCAUUAUAAAUAAAGCAGCAAAACAUGUUUGCGCUCUGCUUUAUAGAUAAAGCAUCAAUCACGGUUCGUGGUCGAACGAUACAUAGUAAAGAGUUAAUCCUCUUACAAAGCGGAUCCUGGGAUCUAGGUACCACACAUAACUAUGCUACCGACGGAGAACAAGAGGAGAUUAGUGGACAACACCACGCCAUAUCCUAGCACUCACCUGGACUCCACGACAAUGC